GAUCCGAAAAAGAAAGCAUAUGCAAGUGUAUUCCAGUACCUGUUGUGCUUUAGUGACGUAGUAAGAACUUUCCAUUUUCCACAGGGCUUAGACCAGACCAGUUAUAACUUAAAAGCUCUGAAACGCACCAAAACUUUGUAUCACAAAAUACCUGUCAUGGACUUUUGCAGCCAAAUGGUUUACCCGUCUUCCAAGGAGGGGCUGAAAUGUAAGGAGUGUUAAAAAGUAGGCAUUAAACUGAAGAUAUCCGCUAAUCUGCAUCAGUCUUCAAAAUGACAGGAAGAGAUGUCUCAGUUUGUUGAAGAAUGUCCAACCUGGAAUGCUCUGAAUAGGAAAGACUGGCUGAAAGAAUGGUUUAAUCUUCAUCUUUCCUGGGGCUAAAGAUGAUGAGCUCAUCAAAUUUCCAGAACAAGUGUGGAGAAUAGCCAAGAGGAAGAAAGGGUACAGAGCAGAGAACAAACUUCAGCUACCAAAGGAAAUAUGGAUCUCCCAUGACCAGUUCAUCAGUGACAGUCCAGAUCAUACACUGUGCACAACUGCAGGAGCACAAACAGAACCAGCUGUGGAGAGUGCUGGAGAGUAGAGCUCUGGACCCCAUUCCUCCUUGGAGGUUGGGUAAAAAUGGGUAAGCAGCAUGAUUGUGUCUGUUUUGGCCUUGACAGGCUGGUGUAAUUACUGCUGGGAGCUGUUAACCAGUUUAAGUUCCACUUUAAAGUGAAUCAUCUUCUGUAACCAAGUGGAAUAAAGACAUGGACACACAGCUCCUGCAGACACCUCCUCUAAGCCAUAACCAUUUGUCGUCCUCCACUCUUGUAUCCUCAGUGUACAAGGACAGACACUGAGUUUCAGAAAAUUGUGUUGGAUGAGGAGGGCAGGGGGCUACCACAUAAAUAUUCGCCAUUCAUGAGCCUGUCUUUUUCUUCAGCCUGUCAUGAGACACGGUAGACAUGAGAUCCUCCUCUGAAGUGCCAGGUAUCAUCUGAUCCUUAAAAUACUGGCCACGGUAACUUUCUAGUGAUUUGUUGUGUGUUUGUUUUCUGUUAGCCAUUUCUUAUCUACCAUUCCACUGUUCAUCAAAUAAAAGCAACAUGAAGUA